AGCAUAUCAAUAAGCGGAGGAAAAGAAACUAACGAGGAUUCCCCUAGUAACUGCGAGUGAAGCGGGAAGAGCUCAAAUUUAAAAUCUGGCGGUCUUUGGCCGUCCGAGUUGUAGUCUGGAGAAGUGCUUUCCGCGCUGGACCGUGUACAAGUCUCUUGGAACAGAGCGUCAUAGAGGGUGAGAAUCCCGUCUUUGACACGGACUACCAGUGCUUUGUGAUGCGCUCUCAAAGAGUCGAGUUGUUUGGGAAUGCAGCUCAAAAUGGGUGGUAAAUUCCAUCUAAAGCUAAAUAUUGGCGAGAGACCGAUAGCGAACAAGUACCGUGAGGGAAAGAUGAAAAGCACUUUGGAAAGAGAGUUAAACAGUACGUGAAAUUGCUGAAAGGGAAACGCUUGAAGUCAGUCGCGUCUUCCGGAACUCAGCCUUGCUUCGGCUUGGUGCACUUUCCGGUAGACGGGCCAGCAUCAGUUUUGACCGUCGGAAAAGGGCCGAGGGAAUGUGGCACCUUCGGGUGUGUUAUAGCCUUCGGUCGCAUACGGCGGUUGGGAUUGAGGAUCGCAGCGCGCCGCAAGGCAGGGGUUCGCCCACUUUCGCGCUUAGGAUGCUGGCAUAAUGGCUUUAAACGACCCGUCUUGAAACACGGACCAAGGAGUCUAACUUGCAUGCGAGUGUUUGGGUGGAAAACCCGAGCGCGUAAUGAAAGUGAAAGUCGAGACCUCUGUCGUGGAGGGCACCGACGCCCGGACCAGACGUAUUCUGACGGAUCCGCGGUAGAGCAUGUAGGUUGGGACCCGAAAGAUGGUGAACUAUGCCUGAAUAGGGUGAAGCCAGAGGAAACUCUGGUGGAGGCUCGUAGCGAUUCUGACGUGCAAAUCGAUCGUCAAAUUUGGGUAUAGGGGCGAAAGACUAAUCGAACCAUCUAGUAGCUGGUUCCU
rnacentral:rRNA from 1 species